rnacentral:rRNA from 1 species
ACAACCGGUAGCGCUGGAUCCCUUGGCACGUCAUUCGAUGAAGACCGUUGCAAAUUGUGAUAAAGUGAUGUGAUGCGCAAGUCCACCACUUAUACGUGAAUCAUCGAGUUGUUGAACGCACCGCACCGCGCCCUAACCCGGCUGCGGUAUGCCCCUUUGAGCGUCAU